GAUGAACGCUAGCGGCAGGCUUAAUACAUGCAAGUCGAGGGGCAGCAUGAGUGUAGCAAUACAUUUGAUGGCGACCGGCAAACGGGUGCGGAACACGUACAGAACCUUCCUUCAAGCGGGGAAUAGCCCAGAGAAAUUUGGAUUAAUACCCAUCAGUAUAGCGGAGAGGCAUCUCUUUGUUAUUAAAGAUUUAUCACUUGAAGAUGGCUGUGCGCCUGAUUAGGUAGUUGGCGGGGUAACGGCCCACCAAGCCUUCGAUCAGUAACUGGUGUGAGAGCACGACCAGUCACACGGGCACUGAGACACGGGCCCGACUCCUACGGGAGGCAGCAGUAAGGAAUAUUGGUCAAUGGACGAAAGUCUGAACCAGCCAUGCCGCGUGGAGGAUGAGGGUCCUCUGGAUUGUAAGCUUCUUUUAUAUGGGACGAAAAAGGGUUUCUAACUCGACUGACGGUACCAUAUGAAUAAGCACCGGCUAACUCCGUGCCAGCAGCCGCGGUAAUACGGAGGGUGCAAGCGUUAUCCGGAUUCACUGGGUUUAAACGGGUUGCGUAGGUGGAUUGCCAAGUCCGUGGUGAAAUCUCCGAGCUUAACUCGGAACUGCCGUGGAUACUGGUAGUCUUGAAUAUCGUGGAGGUCAGCGGAAUAUGUCAUGUAGCGGUGAAAUGCUUAGAUAUGACAUAGAACACCAUUGCGAAGGCAGCUGGCUACGCGAAUAUUGACACUGAGGCACGAAAGCGUGGGGAUCAAACAGGAUUAGAUACCCUGGUAG
rnacentral:rRNA from 1 species